UACGAAGGAUCCAAGCGUUAUCCGGAUUUAUUGGGUUUAAAGGGUGCGUAGGCGGGCUAUUAAGUCAGUGGUGAAAGCCCCAAGCUUAACUUGGGAAUUGCCAUUGAUACUGAUGGUCUUGAGUACACUUGAAGUGGGCGGAAUGUGUCAUGUAGCGGUGAAAUGCUUAGAUAUGACAUAGAACACCGAUUGCGAAGGCAGCUUACUAAGCAAAUAUUGACGCUGAGGCACGAAAGCGUGGGGAUCAAACAGG
rnacentral:rRNA from 1 species